rnacentral:rRNA from 1 species
ACAUACCAACAACAUAACAUUAAUGCACAGGAUCCAAUUAGAACUCCACAGUUAAGUGUGCUCAGGCUAGAGUAGUGUCGAGAUGGGUGACUGCACAGGAAGUCCUAGUGUUUUACAUGCC